CGCCGCGUGGAACGGCGGCUGGUACACCGCGCCGCCGACGCGCGGGCUGCGCGCGGUGGGCCGCGUGUACGCGGGCUGGGGCCUGUCGCAGCCC
rnacentral:tRNA from 1 species